AACUUGUCCAAUAUCCACUAUGAAUCCGUCUGUGAUUUUGAUCCUGUUGUCCGUAACAGCUGGUGCCCUUGUGGUAUUAACCACAGAUGUGGAGGAGGCGCAACACGCUCUUCAGAUUUCAGAUCAAGUUCAAUACGACAAAUGCUUGUCGGAAUGGACUUGCCGAGCGUGCUUGCCGAAGGGUGCCCAGGAGAUUUACGAUACCAAGUGCAGUGAAUUCAAGCAUUUACAAUCUUUCAGCAUUUCAAAAGUCUCUUUUGCCCAGUGUAAAAGAAGAAACCGUCUAGCAAAAUGCGAAAAUUGGAAUAAAUUGUACCCAUUGAGGGAAUGCUGCCUCACAUUGCAUCACUGUGUAAAUGAGUGUGCAGGAGCUUAAGUGAACCGCCAGGAUGAUGAUUAAUCACUCUACACUCGACUGCCACACGACUUUUUUAACGCGUUCUCUAGGUGGCCCUGAAUAACUAUUCGAAACCCUAACCCACUACACUGACCCCAACCCUAGCUGUCAGCCAAUCCCUAACUGAAGCAUAUGCUAAAACACUAACCCUAACAAAAAAUUAGACCAACUUCCUAAUAUGGUCAUUUCAAGUGAUCGAGACAGUUUUUCGCUGAUAUCUCGCCAGGGGAGAAUUUUAACCCUAUGUCAUGUGGGGUGUUUCGAAAACAGCGUUCAAAAAUACAUUGAUUGACGUUGUGUUCGACCGUCGAUGCCCUUUUAGAAAAAUCUUGAAGUUCGAAUGUAGAGUGAUUUAGAACGCUCGCAAGGGUGCAAUAGAAAAUAUGUGUAGAAAUGGGUAAACACUAAACAAUAAUGCCAGUGUCAAAUUGUUUGAUCCAUAAAAAGUU